UAUUUUUCAUGUUUUUCAAGAUUUUGAUAAUAAAUAUGAAUAUACAAAUCUCUCCUUAGUGAAAACACUCAAGAAAUGUGACUUAAGAUAUAUUUGGAAUAGCCAUGAAAUGAAUAUAUUUAUAUUAUCUGUGGUUCAUUUUCCAUUUAAUUUUGUGAUCAAUAUUCACAUCUGGAUAUUUUAUGGUAACAUAAAGUGUUAUAGAGAAAACUACAGAGGUCAUUGAAACAUAGGUAGAAAUUUUAUAUAUGAGGAAAAUGAAGUUUUAAGUGAACUUGACUUGUGGAAGAUUAGAUAGCAAAUAUUAACUGAUGAUAAAUUUCCUGAGCCCACUAUUUUUAAAAUUUUAUUGUCAUGCAAAAUACAUUUCCAUAUUAGUCAUUAUUGUAAGAGCACACUUACAUAUAACCAAAACUUUAAAAUAAAAUCAUAAAUACCCUGUGAAAGAUGACUCUCACAGUUCUUUCUCUGGAAGUGGAGAGUGUGCCUUGUCAUAAAUCUUUCAGGACUGUCCCAGAUCAUUGCAUUGCUGAGAAUGGCCAAGUUUUCAUAGAUAUUCAUUGUACAACAUUGUUGGUACUGCUGAAGGGAAGGGAAAGGGGGCACGGGACCCCCAGCUCAUAUGCUAAGCACAUCCAACAGCUAUGCAACCCAGUUGCAAUAUCAGCAGAACUGCUGACCAUAGGACAUUCCAAGACUGAGACAAACAAGCAACAUCAGCAGAACUGCUGCUGACUAUAGGAUGUCCCAAGACUGGGACAAACAUCCCCUAAGACUCUGACCAAGCUAACCCGGAACAAUGGGAUGUAUAAAUAUAAGGUCCUAACUCUGGUGAGGUGGAAUUCUUUUGCUGAGAUCCCCUAGCAUGCUAGUAAUAAAGACUUCCCCUUGCCUGAAUUGCAUUGCCUCCAUGUGCUCCUUGUGUGGACAUCCAUUCAGACCCUAACAUUUGGGGGCUCGUCAAGGAUGGAUGUGACCCCCCUGAGGACCACCGAGACAAGGGAAGUUCUCUCCCAGAUUUCAUGGCGACUCUCGAGAGUUUUUGCCUUGAUGCUGGUUUCUACACUUCUAUCUUAAGGGCUGACUCUUCUUGUGACCUGUAUGACCUGUCUGCCAAUCAAGGGAAGCAGUCACUGGACAUCCUUCAGAUCUCCAAGCAGGUCCCCACCUAUCUAGGACCCAGGCAUUCACUGAGGCCACGCCCCUAAAGACCCUGUGUCUGCAGCCUUUCCCUCCCUGUUCCAAGUUUUGGGUACUCCCCUGUGGGAGAUGUGAACCUUGCAUUUGUAACCUUGGCAACCAUUCCAGCCUGAAACCCUGGAUAUUGCCUAUAGUCAAUACCUCUCUCUCUCUCUUAACAGUAGGCAGGGACAACUCUACAACCAUUCUCAGCUCGGAAGAAGCUACAGAAGACUGAGACCAUCGCCCCCUUUCCCUUAGAUAUUUAGAGAGGAGAUGACAUGGGCUUUGUACCCCCAGAAACUCAGGCAGACUAUUGUCAGGAAAACCCUUUCUGCUCCCUUACAUCCUCGUGACUCCUAGCAACAGUAAUACCUUCUCCCACCCGAAGGCGCCAAAUGGUUGUGUGGGUCCUCAGGUUUGACCCCUGUGUAACUAAAGGCUCCUUAGACUCAAAGAUCUUAAAUGGAGAGGUCUAGCUCUUCUAUUCCUCCAGAAGGGUGGUCUCUGUGCUGCCCUUUGGGAGGAGUGUUGCUUCUACACAGACCAUACUGGAAGAGUACAAGAGUCCCUGGCAGAACUUCAAAAGAGCCUAAGUUCCCGCGAUCUGGCUCUGUCCAAAUCUCAGACGUGGUACCAGCAAGUUUUUCAGACAUCUUCCUGGCUCAUUACUUUGAUCUUGACACUUGUAGGCCCCCUCCUAAUACUUCUCUCCUCUUAACCUUUGGGCCCUGUAUCCUUAACCGCUUGGUUCAGUUUGUGAAGGAUCGCAUUAAUACAGUUCAGCUCAUGGUCCUCAGGCAGCAAUAUCUACCCCUGCCUACAUUAGAGGAUUUCCCAUGUGAUGAGGCCCUCCCCAUGAGAAUGAUUUCUCAUGGUGGUCCCUGAAAAGAAGUGGGACAUGAAGUGAAGGGAAAGGGGGCACGGGGCCCCCAGCACAUCUGCUAAGCACAUCCAACAGCUAUGCAACCCAGUUGCAAUAUCAGCAGAACUGCUGACCAUAGGACAUUCCAAGACUGAGACAAACAAGCAACAUCAGCAGAACUGCUGCUGACCAUAGGAUGUCCUAAUACUGGGACAAACAUCCUGGUUGAGCAACCCCUAAGACCCUGACCAAGCUAACCCAGAACAAUGGGAUGUAUAAAUAUAAGGUCCUAACUCUGGUGAGGUAGAACUCUUUUGCUGAGCUCCCCUAGUGAGCUAGUAAUAAAGACUUCCACUUACCUGAA